ACUCAAAGGAAUAGACGGGGGCCCGCACAAGCAGCGGAGCAUGUGGCUUAAUUCGACGCAACGCGAAGAACCUUACCAAGGCUUGACAUACGCCGGAAACGUCCAGAGAUGGGCGCCCCCUUGUGGUCGGUGUACAGGUGGUGCAUGGUUGUCGUCAGCUCGUGUCGUGAGAUGUUGGGUUAAGUCCCGCAACGAGCGCAACCCUUGUUCUGUGUUGCCAGCGAGUAAUGUCGGGGACUCACAGGAGACUGCCGGGGUCAACUCGGAGGAAGGUGGGGAUGACGUCAAAUCAUCAUGCCCCUUAUGUCUUGGGCUGCACACGUGCUACAAUGGCCGGUACAAAGGGCUGCGAUACCGUGAGGUGGAGCGAAUCCCAAAAAGCCGGUCUCAGUUCGGAUUGGGGUCUGCAACUCGACCCCAUGAAGUUGGAGUUGCUAGUAAUCGCAGAUCAGCAUGCUGCGGUGAAUACGUUCCCGGGCCUUGCACACACCGCCCGU
rnacentral:rRNA from 1 species